UACGAAGGGGGCUAGCGUUGCUCGGAAUUACUGGGCGUAAAGCGCACGUAGGCGGCUUUCUAAGUCGGGGGUGAAAUCCUGGAGCUCAACUCCAGAACUGCCUUCGAUACUGGAGAGCUCGAGUCCGGGAGAGGUGAGUGGAACUGCGAGUGUAGAGGUGAAAUUCGUAGAUAUUCGCAAGAACACCAGUGGCGAAGGCGGCUCACUGACCCGGUACUGACGCUGAGGUGCGAAAGCGUGGGGAGCAAACAGG
rnacentral:rRNA from 1 species